rnacentral:rRNA from 1 species
GAUGAACGCUGGCGGCGUGCCUAAUACAUGCAAGUCGAGCGAACGGACGAGAAGCUUGCUUUUCUGAUGUUAGCGGCGGACGGGUGAGUAACACGUGGAUAACCUACCUAUAAGACUGGGAUAACUUCGGGAAACCGGAGCUAAUACCGGAUAAUAUUUUGAACCGCAUGGUUCAAAAGUGAAAGACGGUCUUGCUGUCACUUAUAGAUGGAUCCGCGCUGCAUUAGCUAGUUGGUAAGGUAACGGCUUACCAAGGCAACGAUGCAUAGCCGACCUGAGAGGGUGAACGGCCCAACUGGAACUGGGACACGGUCCAGACUCCUAAGGGAGGCAGCAGUAGGGAAACUUCCGCAAUUGGCGAAAGCCUGACGGAGCAACGCCGCGUGAGUGAUGAAGGUCUUCGGAUCGUAAAACUCUGUUAUUAGGGAAGAACAUAUGUGUAAGUAACUGUGCACAUCUUGACGGUACCUAAUCAGAAAGCCACGGCUAACUACGUG